AAUCGGUAACACCAGAUACAAUUUAUAUAGCAUCUCCACCCAAUUCAAGAUACCACUCUAUCGAACAAUCUACAUUCACCACUGUCGCACUUCAUCUCACCACCAUUCACCUUCGCCUCCUCCUUUUCUCUCUAACUCUAUCGGCUGAUCUGGAAUCAAUGUCUUUUUCCUAUCAUCAUUGCACUAUGCCUCUCUCUACCUUCUCCCCCCCAUCAAUAUUCAACUUGCGUUCACGAUUUCUCACUUUCAUCGCCGCUGCUUUGCAAAACCAACCCUCGACCAUACUUGGAAAACUUAGAUAUAUAUAGCCCCGAAGAUUCAGAGGCAGAAUCAUCUGAUGCAUGAAGAUCUUGUAAUGAAGGAUAAAGAUGGAUAUAUGAGUUUCUGCUGAAGAACAUAUUUUGUUCUCAUAUUUGAGUCAGAUCUGUGUCGAUCUAUGUUUUAUCCCAUUUCACAUUUUUUUUUCGAAUCUCAUCAAAACAAAAGAAAAGCACACACGCCAAGAGGUAAAGUCUGCAAGUUAUUUUUAGGCUUUUUCUUGGGUUCGUUUUCUUAAAUUUCGACUUUUAUAUCAAAAUUUUAUAUCUGUAUUUUGUUUUUCCAUGUUUGUUUGUUAUUCUUAUCAGAUCUGUAAAAUUUAAAGUUUAUGUUUAUCUCAAGGUACAUAGAUUUGUGGUUAUUUAUCAUGUAUAGAGAGUUAGAGUUUAUUUAAUAUUUACCAGGUGUUAUAUAAUAAAGUAUAUACAUAUUUGUUUUUCAUUUCAGGUUUUAUAGAACUUGAGUUGCUGUUUGUUGAUUCCAGAUAAGCAAUGAAGCUGAUUUUUUACUUUUUUGGUUUCUUGAUAAAAAUCUAAAACUGGAAGCAAGUUUGAACUUGUAAAUGUUGUAGUCUUUUUGGUGAACAAUUUGAAAUGAUAUAUUUUUAAUACAGUUUGUAUACAAUUUUAAUAAUGGAUUGUAUUUGUCUUUGUUUAUGAAAUUAAA